UACGGAGGGUGCGAGCGUUGUCCGGAAUCACUGGGCGUAAAGGGCGCGUAGGCGGCCUGAUAAGUAGGGGGUGAAAUCCUGUGGCUUAACCGCAGGGCUGCCUUCUAAACUGUCGGGCUAGAGCACAGUAGAGGCAGGUGGAAUUCCCGGUGUAGUGGUGGAAUGCGUAGAUAUCGGGAGGAACACCAGUGGCGAAGGCGGUUGCCUGGAGCUUUGCUGACGCUGAGGCGCGAAAGCGUGGGGAGCGAUCCGG
rnacentral:rRNA from 1 species